rnacentral:tRNA from 1 species
ACGGCUGUGGUCUAAUGGCAUGAUACAGGCUUCCCAAGCCUGCGAUGUGGGUUCGAUUCCCGCCAGCCGUA